rnacentral:rRNA from 1 species
UGGGGAAUAUUGCACAAUGGGCGCAAGCCUGAUGCAGCCAUGCCGCGUGUAUGAAGAAGGCCUUCGGGUUGUAAAGUACUUUCAGUCGGGAGGAAGGUGGUAAGGUUAAUAACCUUAUCAAUUGACGUUACCGACAGAAGAAGCACCGGCUAACUCCGUGCCAGCAGCCGCGGUAAUACGGAGGGUGCAAGCGUUAAUCGGAAUUACUGGGCGUAAAGCGCACGCAGGCGGUUUGUUAAGUCAGAUGUGAAAUCCCCGGGCUCAACCUGGGAACUGCAUCUGAUACUGGCAAGCUUGAGUCUCGUAGAGGGGGGUAGAGUUCCAGGUGUAGCGGUGAAAUGCGUAGAGAUCUGGAGGAAUACCGGUGGCGAAGGCGGCCCCCUGGACGAAGACUGACGCUCAGGUGCGAAAGCGUGGGGAGCAAACAGG